rnacentral:lncRNA from 1 species
AAACAUUAUGAGUCAUUCAUUCCCUCCAUUCCCUUUCUUGUCUUUUCUCCCUUUACUAAAUAUUCUCCUCUUGCAAUUAUAAAGUCUCUCUUACAAUGAGAGGCUAAACCCCAUUUGCUGGGAUUUGACAGCCAACUACUAUUGAUGUAAUUUCUCUUCCUAUCUAUUUAUGAAUAUUACAUUCGUAUUAUCUUUUCCUAUGAUUAAUAUUAUUAUUUGUGACUUAAUCAUCCAUUUGCAUGGUAAGUUUUAGAGGUAGUGUUGGGAAAUGUUAUUUUCUAAUAGAACCUGGAAAGGAUAUUGUUAGUCAUUAUUUACGACUAACUUUUGUAUUAAAUAACUUCAUUAAAUUAACAUCUUUUUUUCCAAUUUAUGGUUCUUUUUGUAGGAGUUGUACAUAUUUUUAUGUUUAGUUUGGUUUUACUCAGCAGAUACUCCAAUUUUGUGAAUUAAUGUUGAUAUCACUUUAGUUUCAAGCCAAAAGAAGAGAAGGUCUAGCAGUUGGUGUCUUGCUAAGCGAGGCAUAUGCGCUUAGCGAGUGAUAUCCGCUAAGCAAGGUACUCAGCUUGCUUAACACAUUGGGGAAUCCUAGAAGAAGAUCAGUCUUAGAUGCCCACGCCCAGUGCACCAUCAGUUCGCCCAGCGAGUCAUUUGUCCCUUCUCGCGCUUAGCGCGCCCAGCUCGUUAAGCCAAAAUUCACUUACUCUUGCUUAGCGAGCCAAUCUCGCUAAGCGAGCCUUCAGAAGCUGAAAUAUCCAAGUAGCCUUUAAAACACUGAAGUUGACGAAAAUCAAAAGAGGAGUCAAAAAAUAGAGCCAAAGGAGAAGCUAGAGCGACAGAAAUGAAGCCACCAA